rnacentral:rRNA from 1 species
AGUGAACGCUGGCGGUAGGCCUAACACAUGCAAGUCGAACGGCAGCACAGGAGAGCUUGCUCUCUGGGUGGCGAGUGGCGGACGGGUGAGGAAUACAUCGGAAUCUACUCUGUCGUGGGGGAUAACGUAGGGAAACUUACGCUAAUACCGCAUACGAACUACGGGUGAAAGCAGGGGACCUUCGGCCUUGCGCGAUUGAAUGAGCCGAUGUCGGAGUAGCUAGUUGGCGGGGUAAAGGCCCACCAAGGCGACGAUCCGUAGCUGGUCUGAGAGGAUGAUCAGCCACACUGGAACUGAGACACGGUCCAGACUCCUACGGGAGGCAGCAGUGGGGAAUAUUGGACAAUGGGCGCAAGCCUGAUCCAGCCAUACCGCGUGGGUGAAGAAGGCCUUCGGGUUGUAAAGCCCUUUUGUUGGGAAAGAAAUCCAGCCGGCUAAUACCCGGUUGGGAUGACGGUACCCAAAGAAUAAGCACCGGCUAACUUCGUGCCAGCCGCCGCAGUAA